rnacentral:rRNA from 1 species
AUGAACGCUGGCGGCGUGCCUAAUACAUGCAAGUCGAGCGAACAGACGAGGAGCUUGCUCCUCUGACGUUAGCGGCGGACGGGUGAGUAACACGUGGAUAACCUACCUAUAAGACUGGGAUAACUUCGGGAAACCGGAGCUAAUACCGGAUAAUAUAUUGAACCGCAUGGUUCCAUAGUGAAAGACGGUUUUGCUGUCACUUAUAGAUGGAUCCGCGCCGCAUUAGCUAGUUGGUAAGGUAACGGCUUACCAAGGCGACGAUGCGUAGCCGACCUGAGAGGGUGAUCGGCCACACUGGAACUGAGACACGGUCCAGACUCCUACGGUAGGCAGCAGUAGGGAAUCUUCCGCAAUGGGCGAAAGCCUGACGGAGCAACGCCGCGUGAGUGAUGAAGGUCUUCGGAUCGUAAAACUCUGUUAUUAGGGAAGAACAAAUGUGUAAGUAACUAUGCACGUCUUGACGGUACCUAAUCAGAAAGCCACGGCUAACUACGUG